CACGAGAGGCAGUGUGUGCCUGCGGCAUCUUGUGCCCUCCUUGAUGAUCUUUUGAGGGUUUGGUUAGUUAGCCCUCACGAGAGGCAUCAUGUGCCUGCGACAUCUUGUACCUAUAGUAUCUUGUGCUCUUCUCGUCUUCGCAUAAGAGGCAGCGUGUGCCUGCGGCAUCUUAUGCCCUCCUCGAUGGCUUUUUGAGAAUUUGGUUAGCUAGCCCUCAUAAGAGGCAUCAUG
rnacentral:lncRNA from 1 species